rnacentral:RNase_P_RNA from 1 species
CGAGCUCGCCAGACAGUCGCCGCCGGUUAUUGCCGGGGGAGGAAAGUCCGGGCUCCGCAGGGCAAGGUGCCAGGUAACGCCUGGGCGGCGCGAGCCGACGGAAAGUGCAACAGAAAGUAUACCGCCUAAGCGCUUUCGGGCGCCGGUAAGGGUGAAAUGGUGCGGUAAGAGCGCACCGCGUGGCUGGCAACAGUCCACGGCGAUGGUAAACCCCACCUGGAGCAAGACCAAAUAGGAGUCCUAUGGCGUGGCCCGCGCUGGACUCGGGUAGGUCGCUUGAGGCCUGUGGUGACGCAGGCCCUAGAUGAAUGACUGUCCCAGACAGAACCCGGCUUAUCGGCGGGCUCACGAU